GGAGUUAGCCGGUGCUUCUUCUGUGAGUGAUGUCCUUCCUGCCGGCUAUUAACCCGCAGGCCUUCUUCCUCACUGAAAGUGCUUUACAACACGAAGGCCUUCUUCACACACGCGGCAUGGCUGGAUCAGGGUUGCCCCCAUUGUCCAAUAUUCCCCACUGCUGCCUCCCGUAGGAGUCUGGGCCGUGUCUCAGUCCCAGUGUGGCUGAUCAUCCUCUCAGACCAGCUACGGAUCGUCGCCUUGGUGAGCCGUUACCUCACCAACCAGCUAAUCCGACAUAGGCUCAUCCGAUAGCGCGAGGCCCGAAGGUCCCCCGCUUUCCCCCGUAGGGCGUAUGCGGUAUUAGCCUGGGUUUCCCCAGGUUAUCCCCCACUACCGGGCAGAUUCCUAUGCAUUACUCACCCGUCCGCCGCUCGCCACCAGGGAGCAAGCUCCCCGUGCUGCCGCUCGACUUGCAUGUGUUAGGCCUGCCGCCAGCGUUCAAUCUGAGCCAUANACUACACUCACGUACUAGCGGCGGUCGCGACGACGGCGACAG
rnacentral:rRNA from 1 species